CUUUGCAGAAGGCAGAAGGCGAGCUUCUACAAUGGGCUCCUGUGUGGCUUGCCAACAACAAGCACCGGCUAUUUUGCACAGGCGGCACAGUGCAAACGCGUUCGCCAAAACAUAGGCGUGUUGCCACAGAGAGAUUGCGAGCCACGGUUUGGGGACAGCAGUGGCCCUUAUCGUUGGGGACCAGGGUCAGCAAAUAAACACACUUUGCUGACCUCAAGCUGAAUAUGCAAUGGCUUUCUUUCAAGGACACUUUUGCAUUGCUGCUUUCCGUCUGCUUUCACCACCCUGCAUCCAGAGACCUGAAAGCACUUCCCCGUCGAUGUACUUGGCUAUAUCUACGUCUGACCUGUCUGCCAUAUGUAAUAUCAAAGCCUCUGUCAGUGUGGAGCUGAAUGGGGACAAAAGAGAGGCCUCCAUUAAUGAUUAACUGUUCUAAAAGCCCCUGCUUUUGUAUUCCCAUGGUGCCCAGGCUAUCUGGCCACCAUGUGACAUGCUCACAGCAUUUUUCGAGCAGAUUGGGGGAAAGCUAGUGAGCAAACACAGGUGCUUUGGAGCAGCGUUGCCGACGCUGUCAGGGACAACCACAAACAAGAGCAGCUAUGCCUGGCUAAAUGAAUCCCCACCCCUCCCAGCGCCAUCGCCAUCACCACCUCCACCCCCCCCCUUCGUCUCUGUCGCUAGCUAACUUGUUUGCUAGCUCCCCAUAGCCUUUCCCCUGCAAAUCCUUCCUUCUGGAGACCCCCCCCCCCUCCCUCCCCAAACCCCCACCCCACAAGUCCAACAUCCGCUACAGCCGUCGCGCCACAACUUCUCACACUCUCCAAAGAAACAAACAAAUAAAAGUGGAGACGGCCGACCACUUCUUUGAGGUGAUGGCAUUUGCUGUGGUCAUGACUAGUGGGAGAGCAAACAAAUUAAUGGUGUUCGAGUUUUCACUUUCCAAACCCAACUAAAUGUCUUUUAGUUCAAGUGGGGCAAUUCCACUGACCCUGGUGUCAAACGCUGUGUAAGGGUUGCACACUCUUGCACUUGAAAUGCAGAGAGGAGGCCGUAAGAAAUUAAACAGAGGGCCUGAGCAUCGGCCCACACAAACCUGCUGUGUUGAAACGCCUCAAGUAGACAAAUACAUCUUUAAUAAAUGGUGUGUAAUAAACACUUUUUAUUUUUUGCUGUCUGAGUAUUUUGACCACAGACUAUAACAAGAGGUGUGGAGCUCUUAACCUUUUCCUCCACGCUGAGUGAUUGUUCAGAGUGACGGGGGGUGCUGUGUCGCUUAACUUUGAUAAGACAAUCAGAUGAUAGGAUGGCGUUAUCUUAACAUGGCUUUCCGGCCGGGGGACAAAUGAACACUGUGUGAUAACGGGAACAAAAGCUUGGCUCUGAUUGGCUGGCUCCUCCAAAGAAUGGAACAAAUUAUCAAGAUUUAGAAAUAGGUGCAUUUGAUUUCAUUUUCAAUUUUCUAUAGACGACAGCUUUUUCCUCCUAAUCACUCAAAUAUUUAUAUUGUCUUUUGCAGGCAUUUUGGUUCCACAGUCUGCAAUUACCUGCGACUAUAGAGCCGCUAUUAUCACUGGAAAGAUGAUUUAAAAAAAAUACUUUUAAACAAACAAUUUAAAUCAGCAGAUUAGGAAAUUAAGUUGUAAAAGUGAGAGAGGCAGAUGCAGAAAAAAGAGGCUGACAAGCGGUGAUUACAAAUAUAUACUGUGGACAUGUUGAUAGUAAAAUUGAAGAAUAGAAAGAUGGUGUGUGUGUGCGUGUGAGAGGAAGCAUUGAAAAGACGGAGAGAGAAGAAGGUCAAAAGUUGUUUCUUGGGAGACCCGCUUCUGAUCAGUAAAAUGCCACUUCUGUUUGGCUUUUUUUGGGCUUUUGCAGCCCAAUUCUAAGAGUCAGAGAAGGCUGUGUAUACUCAGGGAUUCACUCAGCACUUUGUUUGCUCUAUUGCCAAAAAAUGAUUGGAAAAAAAUAUUGAUGCCCUGGCGCCAAAUGUGAAAACAUCCUUAGAAAAAACCCCCAUAAAAAAUAAACUUGCAACUGUGAAUACAUUGCAUGAAUAAAACAAAUGUUUUUAAAGCAAA